rnacentral:rRNA from 1 species
AACCCCUCGCAUUCAGUUGCCAUCGGGUAAUGCCGGGCGACUCUGGAAGGACUGCCAUCGACAAGAUGGAGGAAGGUGGGGAGUGACGUCAAGUCAUCAUGGCCCUUAUGUCCAGGGCGACACACGUGCUACAAUGGCCGGCACAACGGGAAGCGAGUUCGCGAGGACAAGCGGAUCCCUUAAAGCCGGUCGCAGUUCGGAUUGAAGUCUGCAACUCGACUUCAUGAAGCUGGAAUCGCUAGUAAUCGUGGAUCAGCCAAGCCGCGGUGAAUACGUUCCCGGGCCUU